CUAGCGCUGGCCCUCUCCCAACAACAGUUCUAACACUUCAUUGGAGCUCGUUGCGACAACGACAUCAAGUCAUUUGAUUCCCACACAAAUCUCUGCAUGUUGAGCGCGACUCUCCUCCUAUCCCUCGCUCUUUCUCGCUCUCACUCGUUUUAUUAUGGCAAGUGAGUUAUGGGAUCAGAUGCUGGAAGAUGCCGCACAAUCAAACGGUGAGAACAGCUGGCAACCCCUAAAACUGGAAAUGACAGAUGGCGACGUCGACGCGGACGCGGCAGCGCAGGACGCGGUGUCGGUCCGGCUUCAAAACGUAAACACUGCCAGAGUUGCCGACGCACAGUCCUGGAAAUGGGACCUUAAAAUGCUAGUACUUACUUUUAACAAAACAAACGUAGAGUAGACUAUUUUCCAGCUUUUAAUUAUCUCUCUCCUUUGUCAUAAGUUACAGGCGCAACGAAAAUGUAAACAAUUGUUGUCGCUGUUGUUUGUCGCCUAAUGAAUUUCACGUUUUUAUGGCAUUUUCUACAAACACAAACCGGGCGAGAUAGGAAUAGGGGGUCUCACACAAACAAA